rnacentral:lncRNA from 12 species
GCAGGAUCCAGUGGUGGGAUGCUGAGGUCUGGAGUCUCGCACCUCCCCUCCAGCUCUGGGAGCUGCUGCCUCACACUGGAUCUGUCUCCCAUAAAUGCAGUGUCUGCCCAGCAACAUCCUGCCCUGAAGGACAGAAGUUCCCAAACCCUGCCAAGUAUUAACAUCAAGAACAUGUCCCGCAGAGACAAGGCCACACAGCAGCUUCC